rnacentral:lncRNA from 1 species
GAAGAGCUCUUUGUCCUCCCCCCCACUCAGCCCCCCGAUGGCGAAACCCGGAACGUCCCGUUGGGUCAUCUCUGCGAGGCAGCGGCGGCGCAGUGUGGGGCUGAGCCCCCCCUGGAUGAUGGCGAAGAGGUUCUGCUCUGUGGGGCGUCUGUGGGCCGCAAUGCAGCGAUCCAACCAACGCACCGACCUGAGCAUGGCCUCCUCGACGCGCGGCCCCGUCUGUGUGCUGCUCACCACAUCGUCCAACUGCAUCACAAUGUCGGCUCCGAGGGCGUUCUGCAGCGCCAUGCAGCGCUCGGGGCUGAGCAGCACUGCGGGGCCGCGGGGGGGGCGGAAGCGGACGCCCUCCUCAGAAACCUCACACAGCGCCAACAGAGACACCAUCUGGAAACCGCCGCUGUCC